GUGCCAGCAGCCGCGGUAAUACGAAGGGGGCUAGCGUUGCUCGGAAUCACUGGGCGUAAAGGGCGCGUAGGCGGCCAUUCAAGUCGGGGGUGAAAGCCUGUGGCUCAACCACAGAAUUGCCUUCGAUACUGUUUGGCUUGAGUAUGGCAGAGGUCAGUGGAACUGCGAGUGUAGAGGUGAAAUCCGUAGAUAUUCGCAAGAACACCAGUGGCGAAGGCGGCUGACUGGGCCAUUACUGACGCUGAGGCGCGAAAGCGUGGGGAGCAAACAGGAUUAGAUACCCUGGUAGUCC
rnacentral:rRNA from 1 species